rnacentral:rRNA from 1 species
GACGAACCGUGCGAACGUUAUUCGGAUUCAUUGGGCUUAAAGGAGCACGUAGGCGGCGACAUAAGUCGGGGGUGAAAUACUAACGGCUCAACCGUAGAAUUGCCUUCGAUACUGUGUUGCUCGAGGAAGAUAGGGGCGAGUGGAACUUCCGGUGGAGCGGUGAAAUGUGUUGAGAUCGGAAGGAACGCCAGUGGCGAAAGCGACUCGCUGGGUCUUAUCUGACGCUGAGGUGGCGAAAGCUAGGGGAGCAACGGG